UUGUGUUGAUCACAAUGUAUAGUUUUAAAUUAAUUGGAAUAUAUUUUCAUAUUUUUUAUAUGCAGUAUUUCAUUGGCAUAUUUUUUGAAACAACAGGAUUAUUUAAUGCCAUCAUCGAGUUUAUGAUUUGUGAUGUAUUGGAUAAACAACCUAUAUCCUCACAAAUUUAUACUUAUUGUACGAUUUCUUUACUUUUGGCUAUUUUUGGGUGACUUGGUUGUAAUAAGUAAAUUUAUCAGAUGCAUCUUGACAUGCAGAAAAAUAUGGAUUUCGAGAAGUACUUAACAUUAGUUCAUGCAAGCAUCAAGUUGAAAUGAUGGUAGAAUUUUAACCAUACGCUAACCUGAAACUUUUAUAUGUAUAGUAUUGCAAAGCUAUUUAAUUAAAAUAAAAAUUUGGAAAUAUAAAAUUUAUUGCUAAAA